CAUAAAGAACAACAGCGCCCCUCAGUGGUCAGAAAAACGAAGGGCUACGGAGGUUAAAGACCUUCUUUUGGAUCAUUAUUGUUGAAUGAGACCAAUGGGAAUUACAGAAAACAAGUCCAGUUAUUAUCUUGCUGUGAGAUUAUUUCUGUUUCACUUCAAUAUCUUAACCAAAUUAAAUAUGUUAGCUGAUGUUAGUAUUUUCAGCUUAAGUUAGUAUUUUACUCUGGCUGCUCUGGAUUGAUGACAAAACAACAAGUCUCAAACUAUCAUGUGAAACUAUUGGUGCAAAUUUCAUGAUCCAACAGGUUGACACACCUUGAAGUGAGCGAGUCCUUAAAAUGAAGUUUCAAAGACAUGAUCAAUCAUGUUUUCUAGACGCCACAGGAGAUAAAAACAUCAGUAGAAAUGAACGAUGAGUCUUUGUGAAUCUGAAAUCACAUUAACCAGUUCAAAUAUCAUCCUAAUGACCUUUGAUCACAAAGGUUUGUGUUUGUUUGCCUAGAGGUGAGAAAACCUACCAAUUAUUUUACAUUAUUAACCAGUAACAAAAUAAAUGCACCUUGUGCCAACAAACUAUUAUUGAUUCCUUUUGCCAGAAUAAGUUUAUCUAUGUGUCUUCUGUACAGUACAGUAGAAGAAUAAUGUCUUAUACAUGAUGUGAAUUAUCUUCUUUUAUAAGUUUGAAAGCAAGAUUUGAAAGGAAUGAAACCUUCCAACCAAUCCACAUUUAACCUUAUAUAUUGAUAUUUUCAACACGUCUUGAAUGCAGCAUCUGACUGGGUGUAACCAAAACAGAAACAGAAAGUCUUCAGACAUUUUACUUCACCAGACUAGCAAAGUGAGCUUAAAGAGCGUCAAUUAAACAUGUCCUGGAAACACCUUUAAAUUGUACUUACUGUAACAGCUGAGGGUAGGUUGCUGAAAAGUGUAAAGGAUUAUAAGACAAAACUAUGAGUUUUUUUUCUUUGACUUCAGCAGCUGCUGGAGAUCUGAAAACAUCUGGAAAUGAUCUACCAGGUCGUGGUCAGUGGGAUAGAUGGACAGAAAACCACGAUUGACCUCUGCGACACAGAGCAGGAGAUGAAGAAAAUAACCGUGGAUCAGCUGAAAGAAAAGAUAUUUGAGAAGUUUUCUUGGUUCUCAGAAUGUGCAAAAAAGGACCUACGGUUGAUCUUUGCGAGCAAAAGACUGGAUGACGACACAAAGAGGCUGUUUGACUAUGGAAUCACACACAAGUCCUCCAUACAGAUGGUUUUAAGCUUAGAUGGUGGAGGAGAACCUGAACCGGGUUUUACUGACGAUGAACUGGGUGACAAGAGGAGGGUGAAACUCGAAGAAGUAAAGAAUGUCUGAUGCCUGAUGUCUAAAACUCAAACCAAAAUGUUUCGUUUCACACAUUAAAUGGAAUCACAUCGCUCCUCAUUCUCAAUUAAACCUUUUAAAAUAAGUUUAAAUAAAUAAAAUAUUCUGCCAGAUUCUGAAUGUACAUUAUCACGUCUCUCUGUAUGAUCAGCAGAGAUAUUGCCUGUUUCUUGUUAUUUUCAGUGAGUCAAACAGAGAGAACAAAUGUGGAGCAGCUUCAACAAACUUGUGUUUUGAAUUAAUAAAUAAAAUGUGGGAUUUAAAAACUGCUCUUUGCCCUCUAUGCAAUUUAAACAAUGAAAACAAUGAAACACAGCAGAUAAUGUAAGGCAAUUUGCUGCAAACCUCAAGAGGAACAUUGUGAAAACCACAGAUGUGACAAAUUCUGACCAAAUUCUAGAUUAAGAGCAGAAUCAAAGUGUUGGGAUUAAAGUGAUCUACAGGAUUUUCUCUCAGCUCCAGUUCUUGUGUUGGAAUGAGUCUGAUUAUUCUGCCACUUUGUGUUGACAUUAAAGCGCUUUAUCCAGGCA